rnacentral:rRNA from 1 species
GUAGGGAAUCUUCCACAAUGGACGAAAGUCUGAUGGAGCAACGCCGCGUGAGUGAAGAAGGUCUUCGGAUCGUAAAACUCUGUUGUUAGAGAAGAACGUGCAUGAUAGUAACUGAUCAUGUAAUGACGGUAUCUAACCAGAAAGCCACGGCUAACUACGUGCCAGCAGCCGCGGUAAUACGUAGGUGGCAAGCGUUGUCCGGAUCUAUUGGGCGUAAAGGGAACGCAGGCGGUUUUUUAAGUCUGAUGUGAAAGCCUUCGGCUUAACCGAAGAAUAGCAUUGGAAACUGGAAGACUUGAGUGCAGAAGAGGAGAGUGGAAUUCCAUGUGUAGCGGUGAAAUGCGUAGAUAUAUGGAGGAACACCAGUGGCGAAGGCGGCUCUCUGGUCUGUAACUGACGCUGAGGUUCGAAAGCGUGGGUAGCAAACAGGAUUAGAAACCCUGGUAGUCC